GCCGACAGCUAGCUCUCUGCAACUCUCACAUGGUCACCCACUGAAGCUAAGCAGGGCUGAGCCUGGUCAGUACCUGGAUGGGAGACCACAUGGGAAAGCUAGGUUGCUGCCGGAA
rnacentral:rRNA from 1 species